rnacentral:rRNA from 1 species
UACAGAGGGUGCAAGCGUUAUCCGGAAUUACUGGGUUUAAAGGGUGCGUAGGCGGUCCUAUAAGUCUGUCGUGAAAUGCAGCGGCUUAACCGUAUGAACUGCGAUGGAUACUGUGGGACUUGAAUAAGGUUGAGGCAGGCAGAAUGUGGCAUGUAGCGGUGAAAUGCUUAGAUAUGCCAUAGAACACCGAUUGCGAAGGCAGCUUGCCAAGCCUUUAUUGACGCUGAGGCACGAAAGUGUGGGGAGCAAACAGG